CGGGUGGAUCACGAUGCAAUU
rnacentral:ncRNA from 2 species